GAUGAACGCUGGCGGCGUGCCUAAUACAUGCAAGUCGAGCGAACAGACGAGGAGCUUGCUCCUCUGACGUUAGCGGCGGACGGGUGAGUAACACGUGGAUAACCUACCUAUAAGACUGGGAUAACUUCGGGAAACCGGAGCUAAUACCGGAUAAUAUAUUGAACCGCAUGGUUCAAUAGUGAAAGACGGUUUUGCUGUCACUUAUAGAUGGAUCCGCGCCGCAUUAGCUAGUUGGUAAGGUAACGGCUUACCAAGGCAACGAUGCGUAGCCGACCUGAGAGGGUGAAAGGCCACACUGGAACUGAGACACGGUCCAGACUCCUGCGCAAGGCGUCCGUAGGGAAUCUUCCGCAAUGUGCGAUAGCCUGACGGAGCAACGUGGCGUGAGUGAUGAAGGUCUUCGGAUCGUAGAACUUUGUUCUUGGGGAAGAACAAAUGUGUAAGUAGCUAUGCACGUCUUGACGGUACCUGAUCAGAAAGCCACGGCUAACUACGUG
rnacentral:rRNA from 1 species